rnacentral:misc_RNA from 1 species
AAAUCAGCAAUCUUUGCACGGAGCUUUGAGUCCAACAGGAUAUUGCUUGCUUUUAUGUCUCUAUGAAUUAUUCGUGUCUUUGUGUUCUCGUGUAGGUAUGCCAAACCUUCUGCAGUCCCUAUAAUUAUCUUAAAUCUUUUCUCCCAAUUUAGAUCUUUACCUUUCAUAGGGUCAAAUAUGAAGCGAUCAAGACUCUGGUUAGGGAGGAACUCGUAUACAAGAAGGCUUUCCGGUCCUGAGCAGCUGCAUCCCAAUAACCUUAUCAAAUUUUUGUGCUCGACGCUACUGAUUAUGUUAACCUCGUU